GACGAACGCUGGCGGCGUGCUUAACACAUGCAAGUCGUACGGUAAGGCCCUUUCGGGGGUCCACGAGUGGCGAACGGGUGAGUAACACGUGAGUAACCUGCCCACAACUUUGGGAUAACGCUAGGAAACUGGUGCUAAUACUGGAUAUGUGCUCCUGCUGCAUGGUGGGGGUUGGAAAGCUCCGGCGGUUGUGGAUGGACUCGCGGCCUAUCAGCUUGUUGGUGGGGUAGUGGCCUACCAAGGCGGCGACGGGUAGCCGGCCUGAGAGGGUGACCGGCCACAUUGGGACUGAGAUACGGCCCAGACGCCUACGGGAGGCAGCAGUGGGGAAUAUUGCACAAUGGGCGCAAGCCUGAUGCAGCAACGCCGCGUGCGGGAGGACGGCCUUCGGGUUGUAAACCGCUUUCAGCAGGGACGAAGCUUUUUGUGACGGUACCUGCAGAAGAAGCACCGGCUAACUACGUG
rnacentral:rRNA from 1 species